UACGGAGGGUGCGAGCGUUGUCCGGAAUCACUGGGCGUAAAGGGCGCGUAGGCGGUGCGGUAAGUCUGUAGUGAAAUCUCUGGGCUCAACUCAGAGUCUGCUGCAGAAACUGCCGUGCUUGAGUGUGGGAGAGGUGAGUGGAAUUCCGAGUGUAGAGGUGAAAUUCGUAGAUAUUCGGAGGAACACCAGUGGCGAAGGCGGCUCACUGGUCCAUUACUGACGCUGAGGUGCGAAAGCGUGGGGAGCAAACAGG
rnacentral:rRNA from 1 species